rnacentral:rRNA from 1 species
UACGUAGGGUGCGAGCGUUAAUCGGAAUUACUGGGCGUAAAGCGUGCGCAGGCGGUUCGUUAUGUCCGUUGUGAAAGCCCCGGGCUCAACCUGGGAAUGGCAAUGGAAACUGGCGGACUCGAGUGUGGCAGAGGGGGGUGGAAUUCCGCGUGUAGCAGUGAAAUGCGUAGAGAUGCGGAGGAACACCGAUGGCGAAGGCGGGUCUCUGGGCCGAUACUGACGCUGAGGAGCGAAAGCGUGGGGAGCGAACAGG